rnacentral:rRNA from 1 species
UACGUAGGGUGCGAGCGUUUAAUCGGAAUUACUGGGCGUAAAGCGUGCGCAGGCGGUUUUGUAAGCCAGAUGUGAAAUCCCCGGGCUCAACCUGGGAAUUGCAUUUGUGACUGCACGGCUAGAGUGUGUCAGAGGGGGGUAGAAUUCCACGUGUAGCAGUGAAAUGCGUAGAGAUGUGGAGGAAUACCGAUGGCGAAGGCAGCCCCCCUGGGAUAACACUGACGCUGAGAAGCGAAAAGCAUGGGGAGCGAACAGG